rnacentral:rRNA from 1 species
CCUACGGGUAGCAGCAGUGGGGAAUAUUGGACAAUGGGCGAAAGCCUGAUCCAGCCAUGCCGCGUGUGUGAAGAAGGCCUUCGGGUUGUAAAGCACUUUCAGUGGGGAAGAAAGCCUUGGGGCUAAUACCCUCGAGGAAGGACAUCACCCACAGAAGAAGCACCGGCUAACUCCGUGCCAGCAGCCGCGGUAAUACGGAGGGUGCGAGCGUUAAUCGGAAUUACUGGGCGUAAAGCGCGCGUAGGCGGUCUGAUAAGCCGGUUGUGAAAGCCCCGGGCUCAACCUGGGAACGGCAUCCGGAACUGUCAGGCUAGAGUGCAGGAGAGGAAGGUAGAAUUCCCGGUGUAGCGGUGAAAUGUGUAGAGAUCGGGAGGAAUACCAGUGGCGAAGGCGGCCUUCUGGACUGACACUGACGCUGAGGUGCGAAAGCGUGGGUAGCAAACAGGAUUAGAUACCCCUGUAGUC